rnacentral:tRNA from 1 species
CAAAUUAGAGCUUGGUAUAAGCAUUUUAUUUACAUUAAAAAGUUAAUUGUGAAACUCAAUUUGAUUUGA